UGAAGUGGAUUUUAACAGCAACAUCGGUAAGGGAUCACAGCUUUCACCUGGUCAGUAUGUCAUUUGUCAAAUCAGUGUAUCGUAACAGAAGAUGAGACAUAAAGAAGUUGUUCUCAUCAGUCCAUCUGCACGUCACAUGACUGUGCCUCGCCCUGGGCCUGUCCCAAAUGGCACCCUAUUCCCAAUAUGGUGCACUAUAUGGGAAUUGACUACCAUUUGGGACAUAGGCCGUGCCUCCCCUUGUUGUUAUUGAACAGGUCACCUCCCAAGCAGUAAAAAUAAACAUUGCAGACGCCUGCCAGAUCUAAAAACGCCUGGAUAGGUGCUACACAUUCAGCUAACCACAUCAUAUGAUAUAGGAAUCUGAUACCCGACUGCACAGUCAAUUACGUGGCGUGCCACCAUUGGUUGAUGCAAUAUAAUGUCGGCCUGGAACGGGACCAAGACCACAAACGGAACAAACAUCCACCCAUUUUUACAAGAUAAAUCAAUAAUCUGGCUCCAUGCAGUGUAUAGUAUUCCCAUGACAGCCUCGGCUCGUAAGACAUAAGCACACAAAUAAAAAAGCACAAUGCAAAAAUCAAAGAGAAACCUGGAGGCAUAACUCAAGGUUAUAUGUGAAUUACUAGGAUACGGUGAACAAACUGUUUAGUUUUGCUACAACUUUCCAAACAAUCUUGUGAGGAGGACCUAAGCCAGCGAGGGAGAGGUUGGUUGGCUCGUCCCCAGCCAGGCCACAUCCUGUUUCAGUGGAUGUGUCCCAAAUCACAUCCUAUUUCCUUUACAGUACACUGCUUUUGACCAGAUCCCUAUGGGCCCUGGUCAAAAGUAGUGCAUUGCAACAGGACUAGCGUGCCAUUUGGGACACGUGAAGUGAGGAAAAACGACUGGAUUCACUGGAACAGUUUAGGCCUAGUUCCUAUUGUGAGGCAGGAGUCAACAUGCUAGAUGUCUGUCAGACCUCUCCCCUACAAGACUGGCUGCAUUUUAAUCCAAAAAUGUUGUAUCCUUCCACACUGUUUCCCCCUUAGCAAAUCUGAAAUAACUAAAUAGGUGAGAGCUAUAUGAAACUCUAUAUGAACUAUAUGAAUCUAUUGCCCAAUCACUACAGCUAUCCAGUGGUUGCAGAAUCAGAGAGGAGAGAAGUGGGCAAUAGCUGGGACAAGUGGAUGAGCUUUUCGAUUGGAACACAGCCCUGAGCAUAGUAGAGGGAUGGGCUUGCCCAGUGUGCAGAAUAAAUGCAGAUCCUUAUAUUGGUUUGCUGUAAAUAUUUUUGUACAGUGACAGGAACUUGGCAGUGCUACAAUGCAAGGUGAGGGGGGCUGAGUAGCAAAGGCAAUCCACAGAAAGCACAUAAGGGGGAGGGAACAGGUACGAGUGUAACGAUUGCUCCUGUCCAUUCCCCAUUGCAGCAGAGCCAACCUGGGCAGAAAUGGCAGCCAAGCACGCCAGAGGCAGCGAGGUUCCAGCCACUGCCUCAGUGAGAGAGAGCCAGGAGAAGAGCAGUAGAGGUGUCAGGGGGAGCCCCUUCAUUGCUCCGUAGGCAGUCGUCUAGGCCAGCUCCCAGCCAGGCUCAUGCCCACACUAAACCCCAGGUCCUCUUCAGCCUGAAAGGGCUCGUCGCCACCCAGAAGUUCUCCAAGGCACUCAAGGUGGGGGCACAGUAUUCCCUACAUAGUGCACUACUUUUGACAAGGGCUCUGGUCACAAGUAGCGCACUACAUAGGGAAUAGGUUGUAAUUUGGGACGUAGUCAAGGUAAAGCCCCUCAAGGAGCCAGAGGACCCAUUCAAACCAAUGGGACAUGUUCAGUAGGAAGAAAACAUUUAAGAACAGAGUGAAACUGGGAAGUUCACUGUGAAUAUAAAUGCAUGUUGAUGCAAACUGUUUUGCAAUGGUGGGCCCUACUGAACAUGACCAAGUGUUUCUCAUUGAAUACCUAAUUGAAUCACUACAGUCUGCCAGUGAAGUAUCUCUUUUUAACCUUCACGUUGUAUUCAUUCGGAUGAAUAAAUGAUGGAUAUAGAACAUAAGUAGACAUUGGUCGUAUUCACUAGGAACAAAAUGGAAGCAACGGUAUGGGACGACCUGAACCUGUCCUUGUUUUCGUUUUCCGUAUUUAGUGUUCACUAAUAAAUAUGACCCUGUUGUCAUACUGGAUCGCUCUGUUAAGUUUUUAAUUGUGUGUACUCAGGAACGCAUUGCACUGAAGAUUGCAAUGAGGAACAUCCCGGCAAGGAAACCUAUUGUUAUAGUCAAUGAGCAGGUCAGAUCAACACAUACAUAUAGCUACACGCUAAAGUUGAACAGAACAGCCCUGAUCUUUCACCAGUAGUCUAGCCACUUAGCCAACAUUUACCCCUCCCCCUGGCCUGGGCAUAUCUCAGUCUAAAGUGGCUUUGUUUCAUCUCAUUUCCUUCAUCUGCACUGAUAUAGAAGAAACCGGACAGACAAAGGCAAAUUCCUGGUGGCCAACCGUCAUGUUGCAUUCGCAUUUCCUGUGUUUUCAGAGCAGUGCCCAUAAAUGAGAUAAGACAGAGGCAUUUUAGACUGUUAAGACACAUCCCUGGCUGUCUCUUCGGAUUCAAUCUCAAUUUUAGGUCCUUGAUUCUUCAUGUCUUCUCUCCUCACCUUCCCAAAGUGCAUUGGAGGAGAACAGCAGAGGGGAGGAAUCCCAGAUCUUGUCCUCCAAUGCACUUUGGAGCAGAAAGUGAGGACUCAGCCGGCUGUACCGACUCCGAUAGCGUGUCUCGAGUGAGCCAUGUUUCCAUGGCUCACAUGGUGUGCCCCUUGGUGGGGGCUUGAGAAAUCAAGGAAAUAUGUUUGGGAUUCACCUCUACUCUUCAGGUGCCAGCAGGUUCGGCCCAGCCUGCCGAGAAGUU